rnacentral:hammerhead_ribozyme from 1 species
AGCGAAACCGCCCUUCCAGGCGGUCGUCGGAGCGUGGUGGCUCCGUCCUGAUGAGCAGCCAA